rnacentral:lncRNA from 1 species
GCACCCCAUAUUCCAGGGGGGGGCCUAUAGGGCACUUUAUAGGGCACCCCAUAUCCAGGGGGGUUUAUAGGGUGCCCCAUAUGCAGGGGGGGGCUUAUAGGGUGGUUAUGGGGCACCCCCAUCGAUCCAGGGGGGGGUUUAUAGGGCACCCCAAUAUCCAGGGGGCUUUAUAGGACGCGCCCCCAUAUCCAGGGGGCCUAUAGGCGGCACUUAUAGGGCACACCCAUAUCCAGGGGGGCUUAUAGGCGGUGCGUUUUAUUGGGGCACCCCAUUAUCCAGGGCGGGUUAUAGGGUACCCCCAUAGUGCGCAGGGGCGGGCCUAUAGGGCACUUAUAGGGCACCCGCAUAUCCCGAGGGGGGCUUAUGAGGGGUGGGUUUAUGGGCCCCCAUAUCGCAGGGGGGCUUACUGGGGU